UGUUUAUUAAAAACACAGCACUCUGCAAACACGAAAGUGGACGUAUAGGGUGUGAUGCCUGCCCGGUGCUGGAAGGUUAAUUGAUGGUGUAAUCGAAAGAGAAGCUCCUGAUCGAAGCCCCAGUAAACGGCGGCCGUAACUAUAACGGUCCUAAGGUAGCGAAAUUCCUUGUCGGGUAAGUUCCGACCUGCACGAAUGGCAUAAUGAUGGCCAGGCUGUCUCCACCCGAGACUCAGUGAAAUUGAAAUCGCCGUGAAGAUGCGGUGUACCCGCGGCUAGACGGAAAGACCCCGUGAACCUUUACUAUAGCUUGACACUGAACAUUGAAUUUUGAUGUGUAGGAUAGGUGGGAGACUUUGAAGUAGUCACGCCAGUGAUUAUGGAGUCGUCCUUGAAAUACCACCCUUUAACGUUUGAUGUUCUAACGAAGAUUACGAAACGUGGUCUCGGACAGUGUCUGGUGGGUAGUUUGACUGGGGCGGUCUCCUCCCAAAGAGUAACGGAGGAGCACGAAGGUUUGCUAAUGACGGUCGGACAUCGUCAGGUUAGUGCAAUGGUAUAAGCAAGCUUAACUGCGAGACAGACAAGUCGAGCAGGUACGAAAGUAGGUCAUAGUGAUCCGGUGGUUCUGAAUGGAAGGGCCAUCGCUCAACGGAUAAAAGGUACUCCGGGGAUAACAGGCUGAUACCGCCCAAGAGUUCAUAUCGACGGCGGUGUUUGGCACCUCGAUGUCGGCUCAUCACAUCCUGGGGCUGAAGUAGGUCCCAAGGGUAUGGCUGUUCGCCAUUUAAAGUGGUACGCGAGCUGGGUUUAGAACGUCGUGAGACAGUUCGGUCCCUAUCUGCCGUGGGCGUUGGAGAAUUGAAAGGGGCUGCUCCUAGUACGAGAGGACCGGAGUGGACGCACCACUGGUGUUCCGGUUGUGUCGCCAGACGCAUUGCCGGGUAGCUAAGUGCGGAAGAGAUAAGUGCUGAAAGCAUCUAAGCACGAAACUUGCC
rnacentral:rRNA from 1 species